rnacentral:lncRNA from 1 species
CAAGGAGGAAUUGAGUAGAGGGUCGGAGGGCAGAGGCAGAGCCGAGAUUCUGAGCUUCCUCUUGUGCUCUCAACAGGAGUGACCUUCUCUUCUCAACAGGAACCUCCUCUUGUGUAGCACUUGAACACUUGCUAAAUACAAACUAAAAAUUAAAUUGCUAGUAGAGCACUUUAGAAGAGAUAAAUAAUAGUAGUAGAGAAGGAGAGAAUAGUUGGUUUGGUGUGGUGAGAAUGAGGGAGGAAAGGGCUAUU